UACGGGGGGGGCAAGCGUUGUUCGGAAUUACUGGGCGUAAAGGGCUCGUAGGCGGCCAACUAAGUCAGACGUGAAAUCCCUCGGCUUAACUACGGGUCUGCGGUGGAUACGGGCAGGCUAGAGGCUGGUAGGGGCAAGCGGAAUUCCUGGUGUAGCGGUGAAAUGCGCAGAUAUCAGGAGGAACACCGGUGGCGAAGGCGGUUCUCUGGGCAUUACCUGACGCUGAGGAGCGAAAGCAUGGGGAGCGAACAGG
rnacentral:rRNA from 1 species